UAGGGAAUCUUCCAUAAUGGACGAAAGUCUGAUGGAGCAACGCCGCGUGAGUGAAGAAGGGUUUCGGCUCGUAAAACUCUGUUGUUAAAGAAGAACAUAUCUGAGAGUAACUGUUCAGGUAUUGACGGUAUUUAACCAGAAAGCCACGGCUAACUACGUGGCAG
rnacentral:rRNA from 1 species